UACGGGGGGGGUAAGCGUUGUUCGGAAUUACUGGGCGUAAAGGGCUCGUAGGCGGCCAACUAAGUCAGACGUGAAAUCCCUCAGCUUAACUGGGGAACUGCGUCUGAUACUGGAUGGCUUGGAUUUGGGAGAGGGAUGCGGAAUUCCAGGUGUAGCGGUGAAAUGCGUAGAUAUCGAGAGGAACAUCGGUGGCGAAGGCGGCCUUCUGGACGGUGACUGACGCUGAGACGCGAAAGCGUGGGGAGCAAACAGG
rnacentral:rRNA from 1 species